AAAACGACUCUCGGCAACGGAUAUCUCGGCUCUCGCAUCGAUGAAGAACGUAGCGAAAUGCGAUACCUGGUGUGAAUUGCAGAAUCCCGUGAACCAUCGAGUCUUUGAACGCAAGUUGCGCCUGAAGCCUUUCGGCCAAGGGCACGUCUGCCUGGGCGUCACAC
rnacentral:rRNA from 1 species